AGAAACAGCCUUAAGAGUUACAUUUGGUAGCC
rnacentral:piRNA from 1 species